rnacentral:rRNA from 1 species
CGGUAGAGAGAAGCUUGCUUCUCUUGAGAGCGGCGGACGGGUGAGUAAAGCCUAGGAAUCUGCCUGGUAGUGGGGGAUAACGUUCGGAAACGGACGCUAAUACCGCAUACGUCCUACGGGAGAAAGCAGGGGACCUUCGGGCCUUGCGCUAUCAGAUGAGCCUAGGUCGGAUUAGCUAGUUGGUGAGGUAAUGGCUCACCAAGGCGACGAUCCGUAACUGGUCUGAGAGGAUGAUCAGUCACUCUGGAACUGAGACACGGUCCAGACUC